rnacentral:rRNA from 1 species
AGUGAACGCUGGCGGUAGGCCUAACACAUGCAAGUCGAACGGAAGCACAGUAAGCGCUCGCCCCUACGGGUGGCGAGUGGCGGACGGGUGACGCAUACAUAGGAAUCCUAUUUUACGUGGGGGACAUCGUAGGGCAGCUUACACUACUACCGAAUAUAUCCAACGGGUUGAAGCAGUGGUUCUUCGGACCUUUCCCGACUCUAAGAGAUGAGGUCGGAUUAGCUAGUUGGCUGGGUAAAGGCCCACCAAGGCAACGAUCCGUAGCUGGUCUGAGAGGAUGAUCAGCCACACUGGAACUGAGACACGGUCCAGACUCCUACGGGAGGCAGCAGUAGGGAAUAUUGGGCAAUGGGCGAAAGCCUGAUCCAGCCAUACCGCGUGAGUGAAGAAGGCCUUCGGAUUGUAAAGCCCUGUUGUUGGGAAAGAAAAGCUGCAUGUUAAAACACGGAUGUUCUGACGGUACCCAAAGAGAAAGCACCGGCUAACUUCGUG